UGCAGCCAUUUGCCUGCAUGCUGCCAUCACGGGGAUCUCCUUCCUAACCCUAAAUCAGGCUUCCCACUGUCCACAUGAGACAGUGUGCCCCCUCGUGUUUGCUGCCAUGGGCUUUCCUUAAUCUUCCCCAUUGAGCAAGAUUAUCAGGCAACUUGCAGACAUGUGGCCCCAGGGCUGCUACUGUGCCGAGGGGUGUGCUGGCAGCGCUGCUACAGGCCUGGUGCCACAGCAGCUGCAAUGAUGCGAUCAUGGGCCAGCACGCGAGUAUCCGGGCGCGGAGCGCAUGGUGCUGCAUAUUGC
rnacentral:telomerase_RNA from 1 species